UUUCAGCCCAUAUUAAACCCCAAACCGCCCAAACACCCCAUCCCUUAUUACGUACGUGAAAUCCCUCCUAGACCCAUAACCCUAGAGCGACAUCAGACUUAUUCCCCUCUGCUUCUCUCUAGUCGACUCAGGCAAGGUGCAAGGAGUCCUUAAAGUCCUUCGGUUUCAGGCUUUUGAUCAAUCCACACCAUCUCUUUAACUAGUUGUGUCAUGGCUGUGUUGUUAGGUAUACAUGGAGCUUGCACUGGGAGGCGCGGUCGUUGUGGACAAGGAUGGUGAUUGCUUUGAUUAAACAUUUGACAUUUCAUAUUUUACUUAUGUUGGGCUUUGACUCAUAUGCUUCCGCUAGACGUUGAAUUUAUACUUAUGUUUUGAACACCUUUCAUAUGGAUUGGUUUGGUUUGGUUAAAUUACAUUUACUU
rnacentral:lncRNA from 1 species